rnacentral:rRNA from 1 species
UACGGGGGGGGGCAAGCGUUGUUCGGAAUUACUGGGCGUAAAGGGCUCGUAGGCGGCCAACUAAGUCGGACGUGAAAUCCCCAGGCUCAACCGAGGAACUGCAUCCGAUACUGGCGGGCUUGAAUCCGGGAGAGGGAUGUGGAAUUCCAGGUGUAGCGGUGAAAUGCGUAGAUAUCUGGAGGAACACCGGUGGCGAAGGCGGCAUCCUGGACCGGUAUUGACGCUGAGGCGCGAAAAGCUAGGGGAGCAAACGGG